rnacentral:rRNA from 1 species
UACGAAGGGGGCUAGCGUUGCUCGGAAUCACUGGGCGUAAAGCGCACGUAGGCGGCUUUCUAAGUCAGGGGUGAAAUCCUGGAGCUCAACUCCAGAACUGCCUUUGAUACUGGAGAGCUAGAGUCCGGAAGAGGUGAGUGGAACUGCGAGUGUAGAGGUGAAAUUCGUAGAUAUUCGCAAGAACACCAGUGGCGAAGGCGGCUCACUGGUCCGGUACUGACGCUGAGGAGCGAAAGCCAGGGGAGCAAACGGG